GAUAAACGCUGGCGGCGUGCUUCAGGCAUGCAAGUCGAAUGGACCUUCGGGUCAGUGGCGGACGGGUGAGUAACACGUAAGCAACCUGCCCAGAAGUGGGGAAUAACCCACCGAAAGGUGAGCUAAUACCGCAUGUGAUGGCUCUUCUCUGGAGGAGUCAUUAAAGGCUUCGGUCGCCUCUGGAGGGGCUUGCGCUCGAUUAGCUAGUUGGUGGGGUAACGGCCUACCAAGGCAACGAUCGAUAGCUGGUCUGAGAGGACGGUCAGCCACACGGGGACUGAGAUACGGCCCCGACUCCUACGGGAGGCAGCAGCUAGGAAUCUUGGGAAUGGGCGAAAGCCUGACCCAGCAACGCCGCGUGGGCGAUGAAGGCCUUAGGGUCGUAAAGCCCUUUUGCGGGGGACGAUGAUGACGGUACCCCGCGAAUAAGCCACGGCUAACUACGUGCCAGCAGCCGCGGUAAUACGUAGGUGGCAAGCGUUGUCCGGAUUUACUGGGCGUAAAGGGCGCGCGA
rnacentral:rRNA from 1 species